GUGCUCUGCCAUCACGUCGCCUCUGAUACUUUAGGAGGGUAGAGUCAUCUGGAAGCUAAAUGAUAUUGAUUCGAACAAUCCUGCUUACAACUUAACAAAGCUAAGAAACGUUUCUUGGAGGUGAAGUGACUGGUUCCAGGUAAAGAGGCCAGCAAGACCGUUCUCCAUGAUACCACACUGCUUAUUAGAAGGUCUCCUUCUGUUUCCACCUUCUUCCUUCUCUUUGUGUACUCUACUUAAAGACAUCAGAGCAAGGAUCUGGCCACCAAAUGUGUCACCAUCAUCUCUGCUGGGCUCAGCUUUCCCACUAAGACUACCUUUGGCAUUACCAAAAGAUGUACCUAAGAUAAGAGAAGACCUCUUUACUUGACCUAGACCUCAUGAAACCAUGGAACCACUAUCAACAUCUGGAGGACUCCUAGACUCAACUGUCCCAAACCAUCUGGACCAGUGUUAGAAAUACAGCAAUUUCAAUACCAGUGAGAUCACUCCAGUUUCUUAGAGCCCAAUGCCCUUAACAUGAUAUAUGCAAUCUACAGAAGACAGCAUAUAAUAUGUCACACACAUGAAUUAUAAUCUACAGGAUCCUGGAUGAUGCAGUGGUUGAGAGGGUAAUUUCUAAAGACACUACCUGUUUUCAAAUGUACCUGUGAUGUUCAUAGAGUGUAUAAGCACAUGCAAGUUACCUGAUCCAUCUGUACCUCAGUUUCUUCCUCUAGAAAACUGAGGUAUGUAGCCCCUAAUUCAUAGGGUUGUCAUAAGGAUAAAUGAAAUAAUUAAUUCAAAGAUCUUUAAGAUGUGCAUGGAACACAGUACACUCUUGAUGAAUUUAGUUAUUAUUUUCUUAUUACUUCUAACACACCUUAUCAAUUGUAUUCCUUAUAACUCCACAGCACAAAACUUCUAACCAUACAUAUUAUACAUUUUCAUGUCUUCAUGACUCUAUUUUUAACAUCUACCUGGAUCUUCUUCCUCUAAAUUCUCCCUGGUGAUGCCUUCCUCAUCUCUCAGUGUUCAGCAUAAAUUUCUUUUUCUGAGUGAUGCCCUCUCUGGUUGAUAGUCUCCAGAGGAGGCCUCUAAUAAUUCCUCUGCAUACUUGUGCAAUUUCUCACACUCAGGGUGGGCAACUCAAUGCCCUACCUUUGAAUUUGGGCUGGUCUUAGAACUGGCUUGGAAUAUAGAAUGUGGUAGAAGUAUAUUCUGAAGCUGUCAAAUCCAGGUCUUCACCUCCUGCUCUUGGAACCCAACCAUAAUGCUAUGAGGAGCACAUGCCACACAGAGAUGUUACACAGGGGGAACCAAGGCACACUGGUUUAAAGCCCCAGCUUAGCCUGCAGCUGAUGCCAGCGCCAACCCUCAGUCAUAUGAAUGAGCCAUGUUCGAUGGUCCAGCCCCGUCAAGUCCCAGAAAACUGCAGCCUUAGCCAUAACAAUAUACCCAUCUGAGCUUAGUCAGCCCAAAGAAACAUAAGAAAUAAUAAAUUAAUAAACUAUAGUGGCUCGAAACGGUAA
rnacentral:lncRNA from 1 species